rnacentral:rRNA from 1 species
UACAGAGGUCUCAAGCGUUGUUCGGAUUUAUUGGGCGUAAAGGGCGCGUAGGCGGCGCGGUAAGUCGGGUGUGAAAUCUCGGAGCUUAACUCCGAAACUGCAUUCGAUACUGCCGUGCUUGAGGACUGGAGAGGAGACUGGAAUUUACGGUGUAGCGGUGAAAUGCGUAGAUAUCGUAAGGAAGACCAGUGGCGAAGGCGGGUCUCUGGACAGUUCCUGACGCUGAGGCACGAAGGUCAGGGGAGCAAACGGG